UACGUAGGGUGCGAGCGUUAAUCGGAAUUACUGGGCGUAAAGCGUGCGCAGGCGGUUUGUUAAGCCAGAUGUGAAAGCCCCGGGCUCAACCUGGGAACUGCGUUUGAUACUGGCAAGCUAGAGUACGGCAGAGGGGGGUGGAAUUCCACGUGUAGCAGUGAAAUGCGUAGAGAUGUGGAGGAACACCGAUGGCGAAGGCAGCCCCCUGGGUCAAGACUGACGCUCAUGCACGAAAGCGUGGGGAGCAAACAGG
rnacentral:rRNA from 1 species